AGAGACAGCAGCCGCCGCGGGAAUACGGAGGGUGCAAGCGUUAAUCGGAAUUACUGGGCGUAAAGCGCACGCAGGCGGUUUGUUAAGUCAGAUGUGAAAUCCCCGAGCUUAACUUGGGAACUGCGUUUGAAACUGGCAAGCUAGAGUCUUGUAGAGGGGGGUAGAAUUCCAGGUGUAGCGGUGAAAUGCGUAGAGAUCGGGAGGAACAUCAGUGGCGAAGGCGGCCAUCUGGGACAACACUGACGCUGAGGCACGAAAGCGUGGGGAGCAAACAGGAUUAGAUACCCGCGUAGUCCCUGUCUCUUAUAC
rnacentral:rRNA from 1 species